rnacentral:rRNA from 1 species
UACGUAGGGCGCAAGCGUUGUCCGGAAUUAUUGGGCGUAAAGAGCUCGUAGGCGGUUUGUCGCGUCUGCUGUGAAAACCCGAGGCUCAACCUCGGGCCUGCAGUGGGUACGGGCAGACUAGAGUGCGGUAGGGGAGAUUGGAAUUCCUGGUGUAGCGGUGGAAUGCGCAGAUAUCAGGAGGAACACCGAUGGCGAAGGCAGAUCUCUGGGCCGUAACUGACGCUGAGGAGCGAAAGCGUGGGGAGCGAACAGG